GACGAACGCUGGCGGCGUGCUUAACACAUGCAAGUCGAACGGAAAGGCCCUGCUUUUGUGGGGUGCUCGAGUGGCGAACGGGUGAGUAACACGUGAGUAACCUGCCCUUGACUUUGGGAUAACUUCAGGAAACUGGGGCUAAUACCGGAUAGGAGCUCCUGCUGCAUGGUGGGGGUUGGAAAGUUUCGGUGGUUGGGGUUGGACUCGCGGCUUAUCAGCUUGUUGGUGGGGUAGUGGCUUACCAAGGCUUUGACGGGUAGCCGUCCUGAGAGGGUGACCGGCCACAUUGGGACUGAGAUACGGCCCAGACUCCUACGGGAGGCAGCAGUGGGGAAUAUUGCACGAUGGGCGGAAGCCUGAUGCAGCAACGCCGCGUGCGGGAUGACGGCCUUCGGGUUGUAAACCGCUUUCGCCUGUGACGAAGCGUGAGUGACGGUAAUGGGUAAAGAAGCACCGGCUAACUACGUG
rnacentral:rRNA from 1 species